rnacentral:piRNA from 1 species
UACAUGUUCUCAUGCCAACAGCGUGACCAUGU